rnacentral:lncRNA from 1 species
CUUGUCACCAUUGUACCUGAAAAAUCAAAAAUUUAACAAGUAAAGUGUCCAAAAACAGACAAAAUUAAACGGAUCUGGAAAAAUAGCAAAUCGACUCUAAAACUUCCGAAAUUAAUUUUAGAAAAUAAAAGACUAUUCACUGGUUCUAAAGCAAUUGGUUUUACAAUUUUUGAACAAGCCAAUUAUUUUAUAAAAUUCA